AGGGAUUAACUUUCUUAUGUUUGGUGUCUUAUAAAUUAUCAUGUAUUUUUUAAAUGAAGUGAAACCAUUUUGACUCUUAUCCUGUUUUCAAAUUCAUUUGCUAAUUCUGCUAUUUCUCAAAUUAUUUAGUUUAGGUACAACCAUUUCCAUAUUAUUAAAGAUAUAGAACUUCAAAUAAAAUUUUUAGGUUGUAAACAUGUCAAGUGUGGUUUUGGAAAAUAAUUUCAUAAGUUUUAUGGAAUGCAUUUGUUCUGAACAUCCUACAAGUGAAAUCAUGGUUGAAUCCACCAUAGGAACUGAGGGAGGACACUGCAGUGUUUUA
rnacentral:misc_RNA from 1 species